CAGGACUGCAGUCCAACCCACUGCGCCACCGCACCCCCAGAUUGUAGACAGAGAGGUGCAAACCUAGUGAUUGUAAAGAGUGAAAUUGUGCAGGACCUUGUUACCAAAUUUAAAAUGGAUUUCUGGAUUGGUCUAACUGAUCGAGACACAGAAGGGACCUGGAAGUGGGUGGACGACACAACCCUUUCCAAAGAGACAUGGUUCUGGGAACCUAAACAGCCUUAUGACUACAAAGGAGAUGAAGAUUGUGUGGGGUCCAGGAAUGACUACAAUGAACUUUCAAAAAAAUUGAAUGACUUUCAUUGCAAUGAAAUGCUGCACUAGAUUUGUGAAAAAAGUGUCAGUCAUUAUAGUACAUAGUUACCCAUAACAGAAUGUUCAAAAACAUGCAGAUGUACGCAAACAUGCAUUAAUUUCCCCCCAUUACUGCGAUAACUGAAAAUUAAUGUUUGCAAUUUACUUACAAAAUAUUUAACUUUUUCAAGGAAGCAGAAGUUUGAGGACAAAUGUAUUUUAUAUGCAUAUAAUUACUUUUCAUGUAUCAAACCAAUUUAUUUGUGCUACAUGUGCAUAUAUCUGGCUAGAUCAUGUGCAUAAUGUAUAGAUCAUAUCUGCUUUAAUACUAGUAUGAUAUAAAAGAUCUACUCUUAUGCUUCACUUUGCUUCUGUUUGUAUAUAUGAUGUGUUGUCCUGUUGUGCAGCAUAGUGUUUGUACAAUGAUGAACAUGUUAAUUUUGCUAAAACACCUUUCCUGAAGCUUGUUAUGAGAUACAUCAGUAGCAGGUGCUCAGGCCCGAUAAAAGAAAGUUUGACAGAUGAUGGUGAAAUUGAUUUAUUUUGGGUGCAGAAGUGUAGACGCAAGUGUAGCUAUUGUGGUAUACAUAUAGUGUGCUUUGGUGGUUUUUUUUUUUUUGGAGUAUGAAAAUAGAUAGAGAAGAUAAAUAAAUAGUAUAUAUGUAUAUGUGUGUGUGUGUGU
rnacentral:lncRNA from 1 species